rnacentral:rRNA from 1 species
AUACGUAGGGGGCGAGCGUUGUCCGGAAUGAUUGGGCGUAAAGGGCGCGUAGGCGGCGCGGUAAGUCUGGAGUGAAAGUCCUGCUUUCAAGGUGGGAAUUGCUUUGGAUACUGCCGCGCUUGAGUGCAGGAGAGGUUAUCGGAAUUCCCGGUGUAGCGGUGAAAUGCGUAGAGAUCGGGAGGAACACCAGUGGCGAAGGCGGGUGACUGGACGGCAACUGAAGCUGCGGCGCGAAAGUGUGGGGAGCAAACAGGCUUAGAUACCCUGGUAGUCCACACUGUAAACGAUGAAUUCUAGGUGUAAGAGGGAUCGACCCUUUUUGUGCCGGAGGCAAGACAAUAAGCAUUCCGCCUGGGGAGUACGGCAGCAAGGUUGAAACUCAAAGGAAUUCACGGGG